AGGGUUUGAUUAUGGCUCAGGAUGAACGCCGGCGGUGUGCCUAAUACAUGCAAGUCGAACGCGUUGGCCCAAUUGAUUGAUGGUGCUUGCACCUGAUUGAUUUUGGUCGCCAACGAGUGGCGGACGGGUGAGUAACACGUAGGUAACCUGCCCAGAAGCGGGGGACAACAUUUGGAAACAGAUGCUAAUACCGCAUAAUAACGUUGUUCGCAUGAACAACGCUUAAAAGAUGGCUUCUCGCUAUCACUUCUGGAUGGACCUGCGGUGCAUUAGCUUGUUGGUGGGGUAACGGCCUACCAAGGCGAUGAUGCAUAGCCGAGUUGAGAGACUGAUCGGCCACAAUGGGACUGAGACACGGCCCAU
rnacentral:rRNA from 1 species